UGGGGAAUAUUGCACAAUGGGCGCAAGCCUGAUGCAGCCAUGCCGCGUGUAUGAAGAAGGCCUUCGGGUUGUAAAGUACUUUCAGCGGGGAGGAAGGCGAUAAGGUUAAUAACCUUGUCGAUUGACGUUACCCGCAGAAGAAGCACCGGCUAACUCCGUGCCAGCAGCCGCGGUAAUACGGAGGGUGCAAGCGUUAAUCGGAAUUACUGGGCGUAAAGGGCACGCAGGGGGUCUGUCAAGUGGGAUGUGAAAUCCCCGGGCUCAACCUGGGAACUGCAUUCGAAACUGGCAGGCUAGAGUCUUGUAGAGGGGGGUAGAAUUCCAGGUGUAGCGGUGAAAUGCGUAGAGAUCUGGAGGAAUACCGGUGGCGAAGGCGGCCCCCUGGACAAAGACUGACGCUCAGGUGCGAAAGCGUGGGGAGCAAACA
rnacentral:rRNA from 1 species